rnacentral:rRNA from 1 species
UACAGAGGUGGCAAGCGUUGUUCGGAAUUACUGGGCGUAAAGGGCGCGUAGGCGGUUCGAUAAGUCCCGUGUGAAAUCCCUCGGCUCAACUGAGGAAUGGCACGGGAAACUGACGGGCUUGAGUUCGGGAGAGGGAAGCGGAAUUCCGGGUGUAGCGGUGAAAUGCGUAGAUAUCCGGAGGAACACCGGUGGCGAAGGCGGCUU